CAAACCCAAGUUUACAUACCCCAUAUAUUGAAGCCUAUUCAGGCCCAACAGUUUUAUUGCAGGCCCAUGUUAGUCAUUUAGAAAAUGACCAGCCCGUAUAAACCAACCCGUACAGGUUAUCGUGUACGUGGAACUCUCCUCUUUUAUAAAAGAAAAAAUCUCUCAGCUCAGUCGAUCCCCACCAGUAACCUUAUCCAUCCGCCUGCACCACCUCUCCAUUAUCCAGCUGAUGAAGAUCUCGUCGCUUGCCAUCAGCGGACUAAUUCCCAAACCAUUGCGACUGCACUUCUCCAUUAAUUUCUUCCAACUUCUCUUCGUCUGGCGCAGUUUGCCGUUGUGUGGAGUGCACGGACGCGUUCGUCGUGUUCUCAAGGAUCUAGAUCCUAGACGACCUCGUGGAGUUCGGUGGAGCGUUCUCAAGGGUUUCGGCCAAGAUGACAUGGCCGACGGCUAGAAAACCAUGGCAGAGGUGUUGUAGUUUGGCCCAGUGGAGGAGGUUGUAAGGGAACUCACCGAGUCACCUGCUGGUGGUGAAUGAUUGGAUCUGACUACCGUGAGAUGAUGUCCUCCUCAUUGUUCUUGCUGUCAGACUACUUUAAAUGUUUGUUGUGCAAAAGCUAACUUGUUGAAUUUUCUGAAGUAACGUCUAGUAACCACAUCAAGUAACGGAGAAACAUAUUCCAGUUGCCAGCAAGACGCCAUUGACUUGCUUAUCACUGUCCCAUUGAUGUCAUGUGGCUCCUCUUUCACAGGCACCAGUUCGCAUGAAAGUUCGCCAGGU